AACUUUUUCGGUAAGGUAUAUAAACCCUAUCAUAAAGUAGGAUCUUCAUCAGUCGUGGAAAUUUCCUCGUUCCAACUAAGCGUUCUUUCGGAAACCAAAUAAACAAACAAAACAAUCAACAUGAAGUUCUUGGCUAUGACUUUGUGCAUCAUCGUGCUGGCUUUCGCCUUGGUGUCUGCUCUUCCGGCCAACCAGGACGAGGGCUUCCUGGGAUCGCUGGAUGCCGCCCAGGACACCGUCAACCCUCAGGAUCCCUCCAGCAUCUUGCUGAAGAAGAAAUUGCUGCUCAAGAAGCUGCUGCUGUUCGGUUAGACGGUUUACCCUUGUCGAACCAAUUACUUUGGACCCCUCUUUUUCUUCCUUCCCUUCACACACUGUAUCUGAAUUAGUUCAAUUAAACUGCCCCGUAGAGAAUUAGUAAAUAGUCAUAAGUCAUCGUGCCUUCCCUUGGAAUUUAGAUCUAUCUGUACAACGCACAAAGAGGCUUAUUCUGAUCGCAAAAAAACGUAAUGGUACCUUCCUUAUAAUGGAUGGGUAGGAUUAAUGAAAAAAACCUUUUCGGAGGAGCCCAACAAUUCGUUGAGCCCAGCCGGUAAACUACCCUCUUGAUGAACCAAAAAAAGAACCCCCAAUUGACGUGUAUACCAGUACUCAAUAACAGAAUAAAUCGUAUUUGCUUGGAUAAAUAGGAAAUAA